rnacentral:lncRNA from 1 species
AGCAUCCAUUAAGUUCUUGUGGUGAAGAUAGUGUUGCAACAGUGCGCCACAUUGGUGUUCAGCAUGAUGGUAUAAAUAAUUUAGUCACUGGUGAAACUAACAAGGUGGAUAAUAAGUCUCUUGAUCACAAGAAUAAAGUUUCGAGGUUUCCAAUGGGGCUUGUUAGUGAGCUAGAUGAUGGAGUUACUAGUGGACCAGGUGGUUUGCAGGUAUCUGAUCUCAACUUGUUGUCUUCUUUGUUCAAAUUUCAUGCUUAUAGUUACGCACACAAGCACACACAUAUAUGUAAUAUGUAUGUAUGUCUAUGUGUAUAUAUAUUAAUUAAAGUAAGGCAUUUCUGCAUUUUCCAUACAUGUUUAAAGUGUAAAAUUCAUAUUGCAAUAUUCUAAUAUUUCC